rnacentral:misc_RNA from 1 species
GAAAUGCGAUAAGUAAUGUGAAUUGCAGAAUUCAGUGAAUCAUCGAAUCUUUGAACGCACAUUGCGCCCGCCAGUAUUCUGGCGGGCAUGCCUGUUCGAGCGUCAUUUCAACCAUCAAGCCCCCGGCUUGUGUUGGGGACCUGCGGCUGCCCGCAGGCCCUGAAAAACAGUGGCGGGCUCGCUGUCACACCGAGCGUAGUAGCAUACAUUCUCGCUCAGGGCGUGCUGCGGGUUCCGGCCGUUAAACGACAUUCAUAACCCAAGGUUGACCUCGGAUCAGGUAGGAAGACCCGCUGAACUUAAGC